AGGGAACUGGAAAGUGGAGGAGCUGAAAGCAGUCUGCAUGGAUGAUGCUGUAACCUCUCUGGGCAGCUCUGUGCCCACCUGAGCUGGGCUAGGCUGUGGAGGAACAGAUGGCACGUGCCAGUCUCGAUGACCUCUCCAUUUACUUCACACUGACUGAGCACCCACCAUGUACCAAGCCCCAUGCUGCCAGCCUUGCUAACAGUCUAGUCUGGGAGAAACUUCAAUAGAAGCCUCCUUUUGGAGCUUCACUUUCAGAAAAAGCAGAAAACAAAGUGUGGAGUCAGUCCCCCUGGGCCUGGACCCACAGGAUGACGGAGACGUUACCAGAGCUGAUGAUUCAACUUCCUGCCUUUUGAGAGCACCCAGACCACAGAAGUCUUCUUGCUUGGAGGAGGGGGUGUCUCACUGCUGAGGGCCAAGCAGGGUGGGACAAGGCCCCACCACAAACCACAAGACAAGGCAGUGCAUGGGGCAGGCUCUAAGGGGCCAUUCUGGAACCCUGGCCAGCUGCUUCCUGCUACCAUCUCUUUGGGUGAUUGAUUAC
ensembl:lncRNA